rnacentral:rRNA from 1 species
GAUGAACGCUGGCGGCGUGCUUAACACAUGCAAGUCGAACGGUGAAGGCGGAGCUUGCUCUGCUGGAUCAGUGGCGAACGGGUGAGUAACACGUGAGCAAUCUGCCCCUGACUCUGGGAUAAGCGCUGGAAGCGGCGUCUAAUACUGGAUACGAGCUGCGAAGGCAUCUUCAGCAGCUGGAAAGAAUUUCGGUCAGGGAUGAGCUCGCGGCCUAUCAGCUUGUUGGUGAGGUAAUGGCUCACCAAGGCGUCGACGGGUAGCCGGCCUGAGAGGGUGACCGGCCACACUGGGACUGAGACACGGCCCAGACUCCUACGGGAGGCAGCAGUGGGGAAUAUUGCACAAUGGGCGAAAGCCUGAUGCAGCAACGCCGCGUGAGGGACGACGGCCUUCGGGUUGUAAACCUCUUUUAGCAGGGAAGAAGCGAAAGUGACGGUACCUGCAGAAAAAGCGCCGGCUAACUACGUG